GGGGAUUUAGCUCAGUGGUAGAGCCCUUGCCUAGCAAGCACAAGGCCCUGGGUUCAGUCCCCAGCUCCG
rnacentral:tRNA from 1 species